rnacentral:lncRNA from 1 species
UAAGUAGUUAAAAUUAGAAAUCACAGCAAGUCAACAGGAAGCUCUCCUCUGCCAGUCUCCUAAAUCACAAUAUGGCCUUGUCGUGGCUGGAGUAUUUCAAAGGCUCAGUCCCACUCCAGAAUCGGCCCUGUCGCCUCCGCCCGCACUCCAGAGCCGGCUGAGAACCGCAGCGGCGCGGGAUCCACGUGCAGCGUCUCUCCAGGUCAAAGCUACCUAGAUGUCAUCAUACAAAUUACAGGCUAUGACGUCCACCUCAUUCUCUUUCUGGAAGGCUGACCUUAACUGUCCUGCACAUUCCUUACACAGCAUAUUUGCCCUUUUCCUAUACUAAUAAGCCCUAAAUCUUGGGGGUAACAGCCUGGGGAACUACCUGUCUUGCUACCACUCAAGACCAUACUUCUGUCCACAAAUUCCCCCCAAUAAAUUAUCUUUUACUGACAAA